GAUGACAGAAACUUCAUCUGCAUUGGCUUCGGCAAAGCAGAAAUUUAUUAGCUUACAAGAAGGGAGAGUGGAUUGUCAUUGAGACAUAUGUUCUGCUUAUGUGGAGAGUAACUUGAGCAACGUUACCCACCUCUAUGUGGAAACACAGGUUUAUUUAGUAUGUUGAAAUUCCAGACAUAACUAUCUGUUCAGUAGCAGUGGUUUCUAUAAGACAACAACUUCACUCUUCAUUUUGUGCUAGUAGAAUGGAACUUCACGGACCUUGGAGAAGCAUACUCCAAACACUACAAAUGAUGGUUAUACUUUGGAGAGAUGCUAAGACAGCAGAUGCUAAAAUCCAGAUACCUUUUGUGAAUAUGAGGCAUAUCUACUGGGAACACAUCAUAAUAAUCAUCUGUUGAGGUAAACAUUGAAGAUGGUGGCAAUAAGCAGUUGGAGAAAAAGAAAAAUAUCAACAUGCAAGGCACCAUUGUUUUCUUGCUUCUUAAUUGUAACUUUUUAUUUUUUGUGUAUAUGGCUAUCACAGAGAUUUAAAAAUUAAUCAUUGAAAAUCAUU
rnacentral:lncRNA from 1 species